GAACACUUGACAAGAUGGCUAAAAUUGUCUCAAUUAUAAUUCUUAUCAAUCUUAAAGUUAUCUCUUCCCUCAACAUCCAGCAAUCACCAGAACAUCUACUAACAACACCUGACCAGAGGGAAGUGAAGCUCAGCUGCCGGCAUGGUGAUACCAACUAUCCCUACAUGUACUGGUAUCAACAAAAAACAGUCGGUGACUCCAUUGAGCUUAUUGGAAUGCUUCAUAAUGAAAGAUUCACUCCUGAGGAGAAGUUUAAAGCACAAUUCAACAUUUCAGGACACUCUAAGGGAGAUGCAUUUCUACUCAUAUCCAGAGUAACUCCUGAGGACAGUGCAGUAUAUUUCUGUGCUGCUAGUAAGCACAGUCACACACCUUCCCUUUCUGUUUAA